CUAUCGGUCAGGCUUUAGAGAGAGGAGGAAUGCAGGCGAGCUGGACUGCUCUCCAAAACCAGAAUCAAUGGCACCACGGUGACGCGACACUUCCGGUGGGGCUUUUCAAAAUAAAGCCCCAGGUUGAGAGCAAGAGCAGAGGUGCUGCACGCAUCAAGGUCUCCUUGACGUGCAGGUAAGAUAGCUGCCGACCCCUCCUGUCCCAGACACAAAUUUUUGAGACUCUCCCCUCUGGAAGGACUCCAUCAGGACCAAAACCUCUAACCAUAAGAAGAGUUUCUCUCCUUCUGCAACUUGCCUCAUCAACAAGGCCCGUGACCUCCACUGACAGUGAUCCCCCUCCACCCUCCUUCACUUAUAUUACAUGAAUUACUAUAUACAAUAUAAAAUAAGUUUUAGUAAUCAGAUGCGCUUAUUUUGUACACUGCAAUAUCAGUAUCUACUGCGACCUUGCGCAAUCUAGGUCAAACUUUUUGUAUUACUGGACAAAUCAGGACAGUCUUCACCUACUUUAAAAAAUGGUCACACUCUAUUUAUAUUUAUAAAGUUUAAUUACA